rnacentral:rRNA from 1 species
ACUCCUACGGGAGGCAGCAGUAGGGAAUCUUCCACAAUGGGCGCAAGCCUGAUGGAGCAACACCGCGUGAGUGAAGAAGGGUUUCGGCCCGUAAAGCUCUGUUGUUAAAGAAGAACACGUAUGAGAGUAACUGUUCAUACGUUGACGGUAUUUAACCAGAAAGUCACGGCUAACUACGUGCCAGCAGCCGCGGUAAUACGUAGGUGGCAAGCGUUAUCCGGAUUUAUUGGGCGUAAAGAGAGUGCAGGCGGUUUUCUAAGUCUGAUGUGAAAGCCUUCGGCUUAACCGGAGAAGUGCAUCGGAAACUGGAUAACUUGAGUGCAGAAGAGGGUAGUGGAACUCCAUGUGUAGCGGUGGAAUGCGUAGAUAUAUGGAAGAACACCAGUGGCGAAGGCGGCUACCUGGUCUGCAACUGACGCUGAGACUCGAAAGCAUGGGUAGCGAACAGGAUUAGAUACCCUGGUAGGAUAGCG